AACGAACGCUGGCGGCGUGCCUAACACAUGCAAGUCGAACGAGAAAGGGGCUUCGGCUCCGAGUAAAGUGGCGCACGGGUGAGUAACACGUGGGUAACCUGCCUCUAAGAUUGGGAUAACUCGUCGAAAGAUGAGCUAAUACCGGAUAAGACCACAGUUCCCGCGGGAACAGGGGUCAAAGGUAGCCUCUGCUUGCAAGCUAUCACUUAGAGAUGGGCCUGCGCACCAUUAGCUAGUUGGUAGGGUAACGGCCUACCAAGGCAAAGAUGGUUAGAUGGUCUGAGAGGAUGAUCAGCCACACUGGAACUGAGACACGGUCCAGACUCCUACGGGAGGCAGCAGUGGGGAAUAUUGCGCAAUGGGCGAAAGCUUGACGCAGCAACGCCGCGUGAGUGAUGAAGGCCUUCGGGUCGUAAUGCUCUGUCGGGAGGAACGAAUGCUCCCAAGGUUAACAGCCUCGGGAGGUGACGGUACCUUCAAAGGAAGCACCGGCUAACUCUGUGCCAGCCGCCGCGGUAAGAC
rnacentral:rRNA from 1 species